UUUGCUUAACAAGGAAAUUGCCAUUGAAACUGUUAGACUUGAGAAUGGACGAGGUAGGCGGAAUUCGUAGUGUAGCGGUGAAAAUGCAUAGAUAUUACGAAGAACUCCAAUAGUGUAGACUGCUUACCAGACCAUAUCUGACACUAAGGCACGAAAGUGUGGGUAUCAAACAGGAUUAGAUACCCUGGUAGUCCACACAGUAAACGAUGAAUACUAACUGUUUGCGAUAUACAGCAAGUGGUCGAGCGAAAGCGUUAAGUAUUCCACCUGGGAAGUAUGCCGGCAACGGUGAAACUCAAAGGAAUUGACGGGGGCCCGCACAAGCGGAGGAACAUGUGGUUUAAUUCGAUAAUACGCGAGGAACCUUACCCGGGCUCGAACGAUAUUUGAAUACAUCCGAAAAGAUGUAGCUAGCAAUAGCAAAUACCGAGGUGCUGCAUGGUUGUCGUCAGCUCGUGCCGUGAGGUGUCGACUUAAGUGUCAUAACGAGCGCAACCCUUACCGAUAGUUACCAUCAGAUAAUGCUGGGGACUCUAUUGGGACUGCCACCGUAAGGUGUGAGGAAGGAGAGGAUGACGUCAAAUCAGCACGGCCCUUAUGUCCGGGGCGACACACGUGUUACAAUGGGAGAAACAAAGGGUCGCUACCUGGCAACAGGAUGCUAAUCUCGAAAAUCUCUCUCAGUUCGGAUUGGAGUCUGCAACUCGACUCCAUGAAGCUGGAUUCGCUAGUAAUCGCACAUCAGCCAUGGUGCGGUGAAUACGUUCCCGGGCCUUGUACACACCGCCCGUCAAGCCAUGGAAGCUGGAAGUACCUGAAGUAUGUAACUAAAAGAGCGUCCUAAG
rnacentral:rRNA from 1 species